rnacentral:lncRNA from 1 species
GGGCGCGAGGCCUCACGGAGCUCGUAGUUUCCCGGACGGGCCGCUCCCGGCCUCGCGGCCUCGCCUCCCCACACUACAACUCCCACGGGGCAGCGGGCGCGGCUCCCCGUACCCACCAGCUGGCCGGGCAGGGCAGCCACUUCGCGGUCGGGCCCGCCGGCUGCGGGCACCCGCGCGACGGGCGGGAAGAUGGCGGACGUGGUCGUGGGUAAAGACAAGGGCGGGGAGCAGCGGCUCAUCUCGCUGCCUCUAUCCCGCAUCCGGGUCAUCAUGAAGAGCUCCCCCGAGGUGUCCAGCAUCAACCAGGAGGCGUUGGUGCUCACGGCCAAGGCCACGAUAUAUUACCAAAGAAGAUUUUAGCUAGUAAAUACCUGAAAAUGCUUAAAGAGGAAAAGAGGGAAGAAGAUGAGGAGAAUGACAAUGAUAAUGAAAGUGACCAUGAUGAAGCUGACUCCUAAACCAAAAGUGCUUUAAAAACCAGCCUGGCGAGGACAGCCCUGGACCCACUCCACUGUCUCUAAGUAAACACAGCACUGCCCGCUUUUAGCGUCUUCACUUCUUCACAGAGUUCCAGUGUGUGGUAUUCUUUCGAGGUAUUCUUUCCAGGCCGAGAUUGAGCACCUCAUGUACCUACGCCACAGACAGCCAGAGGGAAAGCGACCCAGACAGCAGCCCCUCCUCGACAGGCCCACCCUGCAGCUCAGGCACCAAGAAAACAGCCGAUACUGGCAGCCAUUGCAGCUCCAAACUGCAGAGGCAAGGCCAAUUUUAACUUUUCAAUUUACAGUCGAUUUUGAAGAGCUUCUACAUAUCGGUUAUGUAAAUUCAUAUAUGUAUAUUUUGGAAUCAGUUCUUAUAAACAGCUCGAUUCAGUUUUAGCUAAAUUUAUAGUUUAGGUAGUAUGUUACAUUUGAAUUUUUGUCUUAAGAAAAGUUGACUGUUCAGAUAUUUUUCUACUGUAAAGAAAUAUACUUUUCUAUUAAAGAUCUGUACAUAUUUUUACAGUAAAAUGCUUUAUGGAACUAGUUUUAGAGCCCUCUAUGGCUUUAAGGCCUUGCUUACUGCCUGCAAAUUUUGAGAAAUUUAAAAAUAAGCAUUCUAACACUUUUAUUCCCACAGAAAAAUUCCAAGUCAAAUUAUCAAAUCAAAUACAAAAAUAAGUCUUACCUCUUGUAUAAGCAUGUUGUACUAAAAAAAAAUUUUGAAACAUUUUGUAUAUUGGAGAUCUCUCUCAUCUUACUGUUCUUUGCUUUAAAUUCCUGGCACUUCUUUUUACUGUCUAUAAGAGAAAACCUAUCAUAAGCCCAAUUUUUUUUUUCCACUUAGGGUAAAUGUUUGGCUCCUCUCAUUUCAUUAUCUUUUUUUUUUUUUUUUUAAAGACAGAUUCUCACUCAGUUGCCCAGGCUGGAUUGCGGUGGCGCUGUCUCAGCUCACUGCAACCUCCGCCUCCCAGGUUCAAGUGAUUCUCCUGCCUCAUCCUCCUGAGUAGCUGGGAUUACAGGCGUGUGCCACCAUGCCCAACCUAUUUUUGUAUUUUUUAGUAGAGACGGGGUUCACCAUGUUGGCCAGGCUUGUCUCAAACUCCUAACCUCAACUGAUCCACCUGCCUCAGCCUCCCAAAGUGCCGCCGGGAUUACAGGCGUGAGCCACCAUGCCUGGCCUUCAUUAUCUCUUUUUU